AAUCACACAACAACUCAACCAACAUCAGAGACAUCCACCAAAGGUCUUCUUUCUCUUCACUGCUGUUUUAUCUUUUUACCUUUCAGCUAAAGGUUAUUCUCUGGCCCCGCCCACAGACCUUUAACUCAACCAAUGAGAUGAUUUUUGUCUCCAGAGCAGAAAUGUUUGAGGAAGAAAAAGCCCAAUCAGCUGGAUGUUGAGAAGAAGGGCUGCACAUCAGAGAGGCUGUUUAGUUGUUCAUUCUACUGCAGUGGAGGAACAUUGCUCAUCUGCUGUCUGUUUGGCUUUAACAACUCCAAAGACAUGUUGCUUUACCUCUUUUUACUCUUCUCUCCCUUUAUAGCCCUGGGUUCCAUGAACAGCAUAAAGCCAGAAAGUAGUGAAGACCAUGUUGCAGAGGGCAGAAACAUCAACCUGACGUGUACAUAUGAGGGAGCUAUCUACAGUAUCCAGUGGUACCGACAAUACCAGAGAUCCAGACCAGAGUUCCUGCUCUACAUCACAGAGGGAGGAUCAAUUCAUCCAACUGGUUCUGAUUUCUCAGCUCACAUUAACAAGACAAGGAAACGUGUUGAUCUGGAGAUCAUCUCAGCUAAAGUCACAGACUCUGCUGUGUACUACUGUGCUCUGCAGCCCACAGUGACAGGAAACACCAAAACUCUG